rnacentral:rRNA from 1 species
UAGGGAAUCUUCGGCAAUGGGGGCAACCCUGACCGAGCAACGCCGCGUGAGUGAAGAAGGUUUUCGGAUCGUAAAGCUCUGUUGUAAGAGAAGAACGAGUGUGAGAGUGGAAAGUUCACACUGUGACGGUAACUUACCAGAAAGGGACGGCUAACUACGUGCCAGCAGCCGCGGUAAUACGUAGGUCCCGAGCGUUAUCCGGAUUUAUUGGGCGUAAAGCGAGCGCAGGCGGUUAGAUAAGUCUGAAGUUAAAGGCUGUGGCUUAACCAUAGUACGCUUUGGAAACUGUUUAACUUGAGUGCAGAAGGGGAGAGUGGAAUUCCAUGUGUAGCGGUGAAAUGCGUAGAUAUAUGGAGGAACGCCGGUGGCGAAAGCGGCUCUCUGGUCUGUAACUGACGCUGAGGCUCGAAAGCGUGGGGAGCAAACAGGAUUAGAUACCCUGGUAGUCCACGCCGUAAACGAUGAGUGCUAGGUGUUGGGUCCUUUCCGGGACUCAGUGCCGCAGCUAACGCAUUAAGCACUCCGCCUGGGGAGUACGACCGCAAGGUUG